rnacentral:lncRNA from 1 species
AAUGUCAUGUAAAAGGACUUACAAACAAUGAAAGAAGUUGACCUCAUCAGCAGAGGAUGGUGCCAUAACCGAAGUGGUGGAUGUUGAGAUCCCUAAGCUAGCGGUACAGGAACCAACUGUGGUUGCUGGAGAUGAUGAUAUAGCUCAUCAGCUCAUGAUAAUGUCUGUAUCAAGCCCCUCUGACCAUACAACUGAAAAUGUGAAAAUGUAGAUGCUGAAGAGUAAGAUCAAGAUGGAGGCUUUGGAAGAGGAGAGGGACUUCCUCCGCGAAACUGUUAACCAGUUGUAUGGUCUAUAUUUCCAAGAUGCAUUAAGAUAUCCUAACAUGCUGACCAGACCGGACACGUCGCGUGCGUCGCGAAAUACAUUUAGAAAUCCAUGUUAUUCAAUUAUUGCACCCACACUGCACCCACACUGCACCCACACUGCACCCACACUCCCACACUGCACCCACACUGCACCCACACUGCACCCACACUCCCACACUGCACCCACACUGCACCCACACUGCACCCACACUGCACCCACACUGACAAUAAAGAAAACCCCUUGAUUGAGUAGGUGUCCAAAUGUUUGACUGGUACUGUACCUCGGGUAGGGGUAUCUAAAAAAUGUUUGGGCAUUGCCACUAGCCUAAUUUCCAUAACCAGAAACAAUCAUAUUUCACAGAUUAACCAUGGUCAAAAGGAGUGAAUGAUUUUAGAAGAUUUGGAUUGAAUACCUACUGAAGUAUACUGAGGAAAAUCAAUGGGAUUAUGAAAUAUCAAUUUAUUAUUG